rnacentral:rRNA from 1 species
GGCGAGUGAAGCGGCAACAGCUCAAAUUUGAAAUCUGGCCCUCGGGUCCGAAUUGUAAUUUGUAGAGGAUGCUUUUGGUGCGGUGCCUUCCGAGUUCCCUGGAACGGGACGCCAGAGAGGGUGAGAGCCCCGUACGGUUGGACACCUACCCUAUAUAUAGCUCCUUCGACGAGUCGAGUAGUUUGGGAAUGCUGCUCUAAAUGGGAGGUAAAUUUCUUCUAAAGCUAAAUACCGGCCAGAGACCGAUAGCGCACAAGUAGAGUGAUCGAAAGAUGAAAAGCACUUUGAAAAGAGGGUUAAAUAGCACGUGAAAUUGUUGAAAGGGAAGCGUUUGUGACCAGACUUUUUCCUAGUGGAUCAUCCGGUGUUCUCACCGGUGCACUUCACUGGGUUUAGGCCAGCAUCGGUUUCCGGAGGGGGACAAAAGCAUGGGGAAUGUGGCUCUUUCGGGAGUGUUAUAGCCCCUAGCAUAAUACCUCUCCUGGGGACCGAGGACCGCGCUUCGGCAAGGAUGCUGGCGUAAUGGUUAUCAACGACCCGUCUUGAAACACGGACCAAGGAGUCGAACAUUUGUGCGAGUGUUUGGGUAUCAAACCCUCACGCGUAAUGAAAGUGAACGGAGGUGAGAGCCCCUCGGGGUGCAUCAUCGACCGAUCCUGAUGUCUUCGGAUGGAUUUGAGUAAGAGCAUAACUGUUCGGACCCGAAAGAUGGUGAACUAUGCGUGGAUAGGGUGAAGCCAGAGGAAACUCUGGUGGAGGCUCGCAGCGGUUCUGACGUGCAAAUCGAUCGUCAAAUCUGCGCAUGGGGGCGAAAGACUUAUCGAACCAUCUAGUAGCUGGUUACCGCCGAAGUUUCCCUCAGGAUAGCAGUGUUGUUUUCAGUUUUAUGAGGUAAAGCGAAUGAUUAGGGACUCGGGGGCGCUUUAUUGCCUUCAUCCAUUCUCAAACUUUAAAUAUGUAAGAAGCCUUUGUUACUUCAUUGAACGUAGGCAUUCGAAUGUAUCAACACUAGUGGGCCAUUUUUGGUAAGCAGAACUGGCGAUGCGGGAUGAACCGAACGCGAGGUUAAGGUGCCAGAGUGGACGCUCAUCAGACACCACAAAAGGUGUUAGUACAUNUAGACAGUCGGACGGUGGCCAUGGAAGUCGGAAUCCNCUAAGGACUGUGUAACAACUCACCGNCNGAAUGUACUAGCCCUGAAAAUGGAUGGCGCUCAAGCGUCUCACCCAU